rnacentral:rRNA from 1 species
UGGACCGGCAGUCGCCUCACCGCGUGUACUUGUCCGGCCGGGCCUUUUCUUCUGGAGAACCGCAUGCCCUUCACUGGGUGUGUUGGGGACCAGGACUUUUACUUUGAAAAAAUUAGAGUGUUCAAAGCAGGCCUUUGCUCGAAUACGUUAGCAUGGAAUAAUAGAAUAGGACGUGCGGUCCUAUUUUGUUGGUUUCUAGGACCGCCGUAAUGAUUAAUAGGGACAGUCGGGGGCAUCAGUAUUCAAUUGUCAGAGGUGAAAUUCUUGGAUUUAUUGAAGACUAACUACUGCGAAAGCAUUUGCCAAGGAUGUUUUCAUUAAUCAGUGAACGAAAGUUAGGGGAUCGAAGACGAUCAGAUACCGUCGUAGUCUUAACCAUAAACUAUGCCGACUAGGGAUCGGGCGGUGUUUCAAUUUUGACUCGCUCGGCACCUUACGAGAAAUCAAAGUGUUUGGGUUCUGGGGGGAGUAUGGUCGCAAGGCUGAAACUUAAAGAAAUUGACGGAAGGGCACCACCAGGCGUAAACCGCAAACUCUGCGCCAGAAAGCAGCCCGAAAGGGUGAGUGGAUGCCGGCCUUGAAUGCUAGUCGUGCCCAUAGCUGGGUGCGGCGACACGCCUAAAUUGCGGGAAACUCGCGAAGCUCUCACUACCAAGCUGCUUGUCGAAAGGCUUGCAGUGGCCAGGGUAAUGACCUCGGGUACGGUAAUAACGUGAGAGUAUGUGACAAUCCGCAGCCAAGCCCCUCUGGUUCGUCCGUGGGGAAGGUUCAGAGACUACAAUGGUGUGGGUUCGGAUAGUCAACUAGAACUACCUACUAUCCGGGCUUAAGGUAUAGUCCAGCCCUAACCGAAAGGUUAGGGAUUCUUUUUUUGGGAGCCUGCGGCUUAAUUUGACUCAACACGGGGAAACUCACCAGGUCCAGAUGAAAUAACGAUUGACAGAUUGAGAGCUCUUUCUUGAUUUUUCAGUGGUGUGCAUGACCGAUCUUAGUUGGUGGAGUGAUUUGUCUGCUUAAUGCGAUACGACGAGACCUUACCUGCUAAAUAGCAGCUAGCUUUGCUGUCGCGCUUCUAGAGGACUAUCGCUCAGCCGAUGGUAGGUUUGAGCAUACAGCUACCCUACACAGCUGUAACAGGCGGCCUCUCGAAGAUACCGGCUAGUCUAGCGCUUUAAGCUCGAUAAGGGGAGAGCCUCUCCCAAGU